UACGUAGGGGGCGAGCGUUGUCCGGAUUUACUGGGCGUAAAGAGCUCGUAGGCGGUUCGGUAAGUCGGAAGUGAAAGCUCCAAGCUCAACUUGGAGAAGCCUUCUGAUACUGCCGUGACUUGAGUUCGGUAGAGGAGUGUGGAACUCCCGGUGUAGCGGUGAAAUGCGCAGAGAUCGGGAAGAACACCAGUGGCGAAGGCGGCACUCUGGGCCGAUACUGACGCUGAGGAGCGAAAGCGUGGGGAGCGAA
rnacentral:rRNA from 1 species